AGUGAACGCUGGCGGUAGGCCUAACACAUGCAAGUCGAACGGCAGCACAGUAAGAGCUUGCUCUUACGGGUGGCGAGUGGCGGACGGGUGAGGAAUACAUCGGAAUCUACUUUUUCGUGGGGGAUAACGUAGGUAAACUUACGCUAAUGCCGCAUACGACCUACGGUUGAAAGCAGGGGUUCUUCGGACCUUGCGCGAUUGAAUGAGCCGAUGUCGGAUUAGCUAGUUGGCGGGGUAAAGGCCCACCAAGGCGACGAUCCGUAGCUGGUCUGAGAGGAUGAUCAGCCACACUGGAACUGAGACACGGUCCAGACUACUACGGGAGGCAGCAGUGGGGAAUAUUGGACAAUGGGCGCAAGCCUGAUCCAGCCAUACCGCGUGGGUGAAGAAGGACUUCGGGUUGUAAAGCCCUUUUGUUGGGAAAGAAAAGCAGCAGGUUAAUACCCCGCUGUUCUGACGGUACCCAAAGAAUAAGCACCGGCUAACUUCGUG
rnacentral:rRNA from 1 species